rnacentral:tRNA from 1 species
UGGGGAUGUGGCUCAGUGGUAGAGCUCUUGCCUGACCUGCAAGAAGCCCUGGGUUCAAUCCCCAGCACACCAA